AUUGAACGCUGGCGGCAGGCCUAACACAUGCAAGUCGAGCGGAUGAAGGGAGCUUGCUCCUGGAUUCAGCGGCGGACGGGUGAGUAAUGCCUAGGAAUCUGCCUGGUAGUGGGGGAUAACGUCCGGAAACGGGCGCUAAUACCGCAUACGUCCUGAGGGAGAAAGUGGGGGAUCUUCGGACCUCACGCUAUCAGAUGAGCCUAGGUCGGAUUAGCUAGUUGGUGGGGUAAAGGCCUACCAAGGCGACGAUCCGUAACUGGUCUGAGAGGAUGAUCAGUCACACUGGAACUGAGACACGGUCCAGACUCCUACGGGAGGCAGCAGUGGGGAAUAUUGGACAAUGGGCGAAAGCCUGAUCCGGCCAUGCCGCGUGUGCGAAGAAGGUCUUCGGAUUGUAAAGCACUUUAAGUUGGGAGGAAGGGCAGUAAGUUAAUACCUUGCUGUUUUGACGUUACCAACAGAAUAAGCACCGGCUAACUUCGUG
rnacentral:rRNA from 1 species